AUCUAUACUGUGAAACUGCGAAUGGCUCAUUAAAUCAGUUAUCGUUUAUUUGAUAGUACCUUACUACUUGGAUAACCGUGGUAAUUCUAGAGCUAAUACAUGCUAAAAACCCCGACUUCGGAAGGGGUGUAUUUAUUAGAUAAAAAACCAAUGCCCUUCGGGGCUCCUUGGUGAUUCAUGAUAACUUAACGAAUCGCAUGGCCUUGCGCCGGCGAUGGUUCAUUCAAAUUUCUGCCCUAUCAACUUUCGAUGGUAGGAUAGUGGCCUACCAUGGUAUCAACGGGUAACGGGGAAUUAGGGUUCUAUUCCGGAGAGGGAGCCUGAGAAACGGCUACCACAUCCAAGGAAGGCAGCAGGCGCGCAAAUUACCCAAUCCCGACACGGGGAGGUAGUGACAAUAAAUACUGAUACAGGGCUCUUUUGGGUCUUGUAAUUGGAAUGAGUACAAUUUAAAUACCUUAACGAGGAACAAUUGGAGGGCAAGUCUGGUGCCAGCAGCCGCGGUAAUUCCAGCUCCAAUAGCGUAUAUUAAAGUUGUUGCAGUUAAAAAGCUCGUAGUUGAACCUUGGGCCUGGCUGGCCGGUCCGCCUCACCGCGUGUACUGGUCCGGCCGGGCCUUUCCUUCUGGGGAUCCUCAUGCCCUUCACUGGGUGUGCUGGGGAACCAGGACUUUUACUUUGAAAAAAUUAGAGUGUUCAAAGCAGGCCUUUGCUCGAAUACAUUAGCAUGGAAUAAUAGAAUAGGACGUGCGGUCCUAUUUUGUUGGUUUCUAGGACCGCCGUAAUGAUUAAUAGGGAUAGUCGGGGGCAUCAGUAUUCAAUUGUCAGAGGUGAAAUUCUUGGAUUUAUUGAAGACUAACUACUGCGAAAGCAUUUGCCAAGGAUGUUUUCAUUAAUCAGUGAACGAAAGUUAGGGGAUCGAAGACGAUCAGAUACCGUCGUAGUCUUAACCGUAAACUAUGCCGACUAGGGAUCGGGCGAUGUUAUUCUUUUGACUCGCUCGGCACCUUACGAGAAAUCAAAGUCUUUGGGU
rnacentral:rRNA from 1 species